rnacentral:tRNA from 1 species
UUAAUUGAAACCAAAAAGAGGUAAAUCACUGUUAAUGAUUUUAAUGAAUAUAUUCCAAUUAAA